rnacentral:rRNA from 1 species
UACAGAGGUCUCAAGCGUUGUUCGGAUUCAUUGGGCGUAAAGGGUGCGUAGGCGGAUUGCUAAGUCAGGGGUGAAAUCCUGGAGCUCAACUCCAGAACUGCCUUUGAUACUGGCGACCUUGAGUCCGGGAGAGGUGAGUGGAACUGCGAGUGUAGAGGUGAAAUUCGUAGAUAUUCGCAAGAACACCAGUGGCGAAGGCGGCUCACUGGCCCGGUACUGACGCUGAGGUGCGAAAGCGUGUGGAGCAAACAGG